CUUUUCAUAUUACAUUAGUAAGAAGAGGAUGUGAAUUCUCUAAAAUUUUAUAUUGUGCUCAGAAUCACUACCAUUGAUGCUGUUUGUGCAC